rnacentral:snRNA from 1 species
AUGCUCCCUUCCGCAGCACAUAUACUAAAAUUGAAAUGAUACAGAGAAGAUUAGCAUGGCCCCUGUGCAUGUGCAUUCAUGAAGCGUUCCAUAUUUUU